rnacentral:rRNA from 1 species
CAGCAGCCGCGGGAAUACGAACCGUGCGAACGUUAUUCGGAAUUACUGGGCGUAAAGCGCGCGCAGGCGGUUUUUUAAGUCUGGUGUCUAAGUGCGGGGCUCAACCCCGUGACGCACUGGAAACUGGGAGACUUGAGUGCAGAAGAGGAGAGCGGAAUUCCACGUGUAGCGGUGAAAUGCGUAGAGAUGUGGAGGAACACCAGUGGCGAAGGCGGCUCUCUGGACUGUAACUGACGCUGAGGCGCGAAAGCGUGGGGAGCGAACAGGAUUAGAUACCCGAGUAGUCCCUGUCUCUUAUACA